rnacentral:rRNA from 1 species
UACGGAGGGAGCUAGCGUUGUUCGGAAUUACUGGGCGUAAAGCGCACGUAGGCGGCUUUGUAAGUUAGAGGUGAAAGCCUGGAGCUCAACUCCAGAAUUGCCUUUGAUACUGCAUGGCUUGAAUCCAGGAGAGGUGAGUGGAAUUCCGAGUGUAGAGGUGAAAUUCGUAGAUAUUCGGAAGAACACCAGUGGCGAAGGCGGCUCACUGGAGCUGGUAUUGACGCUGAGGUGGCGAAAGCGUGGGGAGCAAACAGG